GCCCGCUUAGCUCAAUUGGUAGAGCGCAGACUUAGUAAGUCUGAGGUCUUGAGUUCGAUUCUCAAAGUGGGCACCA
rnacentral:tRNA from 1 species